ACAAAACAAUUUAUCUCUUCCACUAAUAUAUUAGAUUAGAUACAGGUGUUACAUGUCCAACUAUUGUCACGUGCAAUUCCUAAUCGGGAAUCUAAAGGACACAUACAUAACUCGGACACUCGGUAAGCCAAGGACACGUAAACACAUACAAAGAGUGCUUACGGACAGAGUCCCCAUAAAAAUACAAAAUUGGCCGCAUCCAUCAGCCUAUUGUCACAUAUAGGCUUUAACUGGAAGAAAAAAUAAACAUACAAGGACUCCAUAAGGGCACAGCCAGAAAUCAUCCAUCAAAAUACACAGCCGGCCGCACCCAGCAGCCAACACACGCCCACCAUCCGCCUAGAAAUCUAAGACACACAGCAAGUCACGACUCAACACCAUGACCAGGAAAAUUGAAGCCAACCAACUCUACGAUGCCAUGACUCGACGAUCCCACCACCAGGACAAUUGAAGCGAACUCUCUAUGAUGCGAGAUGUUCAGACUUGGCUCUCAGGCAAUAAAUAUCAAAGUCGGCCCAAAUUAUGAAGUGGCAUGCAACUCUUUUCUACAUAAGUCACACCCAACCAUCCGAGUUUCCUUCUCACCUGAAUCAACAAGGUUAGUAAGUAUUAUUACUAUGAACUCAAUUUCUUCAGCAAAAAUCUUCAUAUGAACAUUAUCAAUUGACAAGUACAUUUUCAAUCCUUUUGAAGCAAUGGGAACACAAGAAACUGAGAGACUUUAACAAGAGACCAAAACUGGGAUGUUUAAGUGAAACUAAUGGGAACAUGGGAUACAAUAAUCCUCCAAUCGAUGAACUUAUUAGCCUUGAUGUGAUCUAUAUGUAUGAGCAGGUUUAUGUUAUACAUAUUCAUCGAUAACCAAAGUGUCUGCUGUGACCUCAACAAUAGUGCAAAAAUUCAAUGGUAAGUUCAACAAUUUUAAAACCUGAUAUGUUAUUUACAAAAAGAAAAUAUUUAACAGAUUUCUACUUGAUACGUUUGUGCCUAUAGUCAAGCAGUGCCACAGGAGUAUAUACCGAUCUCGAUAUACCCAAACAUCGGGACCUUCUUAACUGGUAUGAAACACCAGCUAUUCUAAUUUAUUGACUAAUUAACUAUGACUAAAUGUCACUCCAUAUAUAUAGGCACCCAGCGGAAGAAUCUUUACCAAAAAUGAUCGAUAUUGAUAGAAGUACUACAACGCACACUAGAAGAGCAAAUGUUUUAUGCAAGGGCGUUACAAGAACUUCCUUAGAUGAGGCAAAAAAAACUAGACAGAUCAGGUAGUCACAAUUUAGUCAUAUAUGUUAUAACAUCAUCUUACAUUCUUACUUGACUUAUAUAUGUCUAACAAUUUCUUCAAAAUGUGAACUUUGAUUUUCUUGGUAAUUUUUAGGACUAUGUGUUCAUUGAUUUGAGAAAUCUACUAAUUCAAACAGGAAUGUUUCUAUUAUACUUGCUCCGUUCCUAAAUACAAGUCCAUUUAGAGAUUUCAAUAUGGACUACAUACAGAUGUAUAUAGACAUAUUUUAGAGUGUAGAUUCACUCAUUUUGCUCCAAAUGUAGUCCAUAUUGGAAUCUCUGAAAAGGCUUAUAUUUAGGAACGAAGGGAGUAUUUACUUUGCACUAAUAACAAUGGUAUGGUAUGUGCCAUAUUCAACUCCAAAUUAGCACUAUAGAAUUACUACAAGUUGCACUUUAUUUGACGAGGAAGAAAAGUUGCUUAAUACAUUUGUCUUGAAUUUGCUAAAUUCAUUGGAUGGGAAGGAAAUCUAAAGCAGCACCAAAGAUUAUACAAAAGUUAUAUGGAAGAAGAUUUAUCUUUCGCUUUGGCAUGCAAAACAAUGCAGUAAAAUGAACAUACAUACCCAAUGAUGGGCUUGAUAUGUUGUACUUUAACGAUAUGUUCUUUAAAAAAUUAAGUAUUGUGUUUCUAUUUUUCUUCAGUGAUACAUCUUGCGUGCCACAUAGGAUUUGAUGAAUGAUGAAGUGGACACCAUCUUCAAAUAAGGAAAGAAGAACAUGCCGGCUAUAAGAAUAAUUGGUUUUUGCACUAUAUACUUUUGCAUUUUUAAAGAUAUGUCUAAUUUUUAAAAUUUAUUUGUAUUUUGCAGUCACAGAAUAAUAAAGAUUCAACUAGGCAAAAGUAAUGUGGACUGAUGUCUGUGACAGAGGAACCACAUGGUACUAAUGGGACUAUGGUAAAUGAAUAUGAGUAUGGAAACAAAAUAUUAUCAUCACACGAACUCCAUGAUGACAAAAGAAAGACCAUUGUUAUAUACUUAUAAGCACACAAAAGAAGUCCUCAAGAACAAGAAACCCGUCAAAGCAAAUCACAAGUACAAUGUUUAAAGAUGAAGACUCAUAUGCUCGCUCUACCAGCAUCUAAUGGUGAGGUUGAAUUAGGUUUUGGAUUGUAGUGACCAAGCUUAUUUUCUCAGUCAAAAGUUGGAUUGAAAAAUAUUAAUUUCCCCUAUUUUUUGACGGGUAACGGCAGGAGCUCUACUAAUUCAUUUAGAGGGGUGUUAACUGUACAUGCUGCUACCAGCAGGGAAAGAACAAAGACGGAAAAGAAAACUGGACAAACAAAUCUAAUUACUCGCAGAAAACUAGCCCGAGGGCCUCAAUGUAUGCAUGUAUGGUCAGUACAAAUAGUUUGUUCUGAUGGUUAUAGUUGAUAAAUAAUGCAGAUAUUAGUGAGUGUGAGAAUCAUGACUACUACCCUUGUGAGGGAGGCUGCAAGAAUAAGCAAGGAUCCUAUGAAUGCACACGGAACAAUAACUCACACAGUGCUAAUUCGUACAAAUAACUCUGCAGGCCAAAUUUUCCACUAGAAGCAAAGAUCGACAUUAGAUAUUUAUGUGUCGAUUCACCUAGAGGCAUCACAAGUAUGGCCUACACCCAUUAAGCCAAUCGAGAAUUGGGUGCAUGUUAAUUAAAGCAUAUGAAGCAAAUUUUAGUUAAAACAUGCAAGAGUUUUUACUUUGUCUUAAAUAAACAAUAAACGUAUGAGUUACAUAACUUGCUAAUAUGUUGUUACAGCAAAUAGAAAAUUAUAUACUUUUUAAUCCAAUUAGAAGGGGAAACAAACCUGUGAAGAAUUGGGUGCUAUGGAGGAAGUAGGAAUGAUGCAUAGAUGUGGCGCAUUGACCAUACCAGGCAUGCUCACCUCUAUCCUGUGUCACAGAUCCAAUAAUUGAAAUAAAUCACAUCCCGUUUGAAGCAAAAAAAUAUAUUAUUGGCAAUUUAAAAAUGAAAGUAAAAUGGUGAAAAUUAACAGACAUGCUAAAGCCAGACCUGGGUGAUUGGAGAAUAUGAGAUCGACGAGGAAAACUUUGGAGGAGAUGGUCGUCAAACGCGACGACCCAGCUCUCUGACCUGACAUCUGCCUCUCUAGUUCAGCAGAGAUGUGAUGCCGCAUCAUGGGAAGGCGAGCAGCGCUAGAUCCGCGGCC
rnacentral:lncRNA from 1 species